rnacentral:misc_RNA from 1 species
UGGGGACUGGGUGAACAGGGGUCGGCUACCCCCUUAUCGACGACUUCAGCCUGCUGAUGAGCUCCCACACGAAUUGCUUGAUUCAUGGUUGAAGACGAUCAUGGCCCUGCCUGGUGUUAGUUUUGUGCCUGAUCAAUCUCUAAAAUGAACAUUCGUUUCGAAUGAGGAUUUCUGGCUUUUGCCGCAUCGAUCUUUAAUAAUUCGGAUCAGUGAUAGAUAUAGACUGAUGGCCUCUUUCGCUGCUGCUUCUGCCUGGUACGGUAAAAUUUGUGAGUUCUGCUCCACUUGGCAACAUGCCUUUUUUCUGCGAAUGUCUGCUUCACUUGAUAACCCUAUUGCUUGGGUUUAUAUAUGGUCAGUUGAUUUCUGACUUUUGUCAGAUCGUUCUUUAAAAAUUCGGAUAUGUGAUAGAUAUAGACUGAUGGCCAGUUUCACUGCUGGUUAAUCACGCUAAGGUAAAAUUUGUGAGUUCUGCUCGAAAGACCAACAUGCGAAUUUUCCGCAAAUGUCGUCUUCACAGUAUAACCAGAUUGCUUGGGGUUAAUAUAUGGUCACAAC